rnacentral:rRNA from 1 species
AUUGAACGCUGGCGGCAGGCCUAACACAUGCAAGUCGAGCGGAUGAGGGAAGCUUGCUUCCCGAUUUAGCGGCGGACGGGUGAGUAAUGCCUAGUAAUCUGCUUAUUAGUGGUGGAUAAUGUUCCGCAGGGAACGCUAGUACCUCAUACGUCCUACGGGAGAAGGUGGGGGAUCUUCGUACCUCCCCCUAAGGGAUGACUCUGGGUCGGGCUAGCUAGUUGGUGAGGUAACGGCUCACCAAGGCGACGAUCCGUAGCUGGUCUGAGCGGAUGAUCAGCCACACUGGAACUGAGACACGGUCCAGACUCCUACGGGAGGCAGCAGUGGGGAAUAUUGGACAAUGGGCGAAAGCCUGAUCCAGCCAUGCCGCGUGUGUGAAGAAGGUCUUCGGAUUGUAAAGCACUUUAAGUUGGGAGGAAGGGUUGUAAGCUAAUAUCUUGCAGCUUUGACGUUACCAACAGAAUAAGCACCGGCUAACUCUGUGCCAGCCGCCGCGGUAAGAC